rnacentral:piRNA from 1 species
UCUGUGACACCUUGGGGACGUGUGGUU